UGGCAGAGCAGAGCUACCUUAAUCACCUCA
rnacentral:piRNA from 1 species